ensembl:rRNA 5S_rRNA 5S ribosomal RNA
GUCUACAGCCAUAUCACUCUGAACGAGCCUGAUCUUAUCUGAUCUCAGAAGCUAAGUAGGAUUGGGCCUGGUUAGUACUUAGAUGGGAGACUGCCUGGGAAUAUCAGGUGCUAUAGGCU